UACCAGCACCCCGAGUGGUCGGGACGUUUAUUGGGCCUAAAGCAUCCGUAGCCGGUUCUACAAGUCUUCCGUUAAAUCCAACUGCUUAACAGAUGGGCUGCGGAAGAUACUAUAGAGCUAGGAGGCGGGAGAGGCAAGCGGUACUCGAUGGGUAGGGGUAAAAUCCGUUGAUCCAUUGAAGACCACCAGUGGCGAAGGCGGCUUGCCAGAACGCGCUCGACGGUGACGGAGUGAAAGCUGGGGGAGCAAACCGG
rnacentral:rRNA from 1 species